rnacentral:rRNA from 1 species
UACAGAGGUCUCAAGCGUUGUUCGGAUUCAUUGGGCGUAAAGGGUGCGUAGGCGGCGCGGUAAGUCGGGUGUGAAAUCUCGGAGCUUAACUCCGAAACUGCAUUCGAUACUGCCGUGCUUGAGGACUGGAGAGGAGACUGGAAUUUACGGUGUAGCGGUGAAAUGCGUAGAUAUCGUAAGGAAGACCAGUGGCGAAGGCGGGUCUCUGGACAGUUCUUGACGCUGAGGCACGAAGGUCAGGGGAGCAAACAGG